GGGCAUGUAACUCAGAGGAUUAGAGCACGUGGUUACGAACCACGGUGUCGAGGGUUCGAAUCCCUCCUCGCCCA
rfam:Picea glauca, whole genome shotgun sequence.